GCCUUAGGGUUGUAACUUAAUCUUUUGAUAUGACCCUCGGCUCGUAACCGAGUGGACUCGGGUUCGAAUCCCGAAUAAGGCA